AGGUUUGUGUGGGUAAGCCUUGAACGCGGGUCUGUCGAGGGAGGCAGUUGUUACUACCUCUCUAGGAAGGAAGAGCACCUUGUAGCUGGUCCUUGCCUGAAGUCUCCCCACCAUCCGGUGAGGUGCGUGAUCCCAUGCGCCGAUAGAAGCUUUCUGUCCCGUGUACACAUGCCGGCGUGUGAGUCUGUUCCUGGUCAGUUUUUCCAGCCGCACCUUUUUCGGACAACAUCCUUAGUGUACCGCGCCUCUGUCCA
rnacentral:misc_RNA from 1 species